rnacentral:rRNA from 1 species
GGUCGAACCUGGCGUGGGCGGAUCCGUAGGUGCACCUGCGGAUAUGCAUAUCAAUAAGCGGAGGAAGACUCCGUAGGUGUAGCCGGGGAUAUGCAUAUUAAAAAGCCGAUUAGUAAUUGCAAUCAGCGUCAGAAAAACAUAAUAGUUACAACUUUCAACAACGGAUCUCUUGGUUCUGGCAUCGAUGAAGAACGCAGCGAAAUGCGAAAAGUAGUGUGAAUUGCAGAAUUCAGUGAAUCAUCGAAUCUUUGAACGCACAUUGCGCCCCUUGGUAUUCCAUGGGGCAUGCCUGUUCGAGCGUCAUUUGUACCUUCAAGCUCUGCUUGGUGUUGGGUGUUUGUCCCCGCGUUAUGCGCGGACUCGCCUCAAAGCAAUUGGCAGCCGGCGUACUGGCCUUGGAGCGCAGCACAUUUUGCGCCCCUCCGCUUGAACGCUUGCGUCCAUUAAGCCUACAAUUCUUGCUCUUGACCUCGGAUCAGGUAGGGAUACCCGCUGAACUUAAGCAUAUCAUAGG